ACAUCUCCUGAUGAAGAGAUAGUUAAAAGGUAUCCUCUCUUCCAGGUACAGAUUAUAUUUUCUUUCUUUCCUUUUUUUAGUUACAUCAUAAAAUUGAUUCAUCUUUUUUGUUCUUUUUGUAUAUGAAAGGGAUAAAAUCAAUUUCAAUUAAUAGUAUAGAAAAGAUACUUGCUGUGAGUGGAGAUGUGGAUGCUGAUGAAGUUCGAUUGGUUGUGGGCAAACUAAGCAAGCGUGACAUGCUGUAACGAAAUGCUGAGCUCUGGUAAACUCAGCCAUGAUGGAUUUCCAGAAAAUGACAAGGUUAUAGUCCCAUUGUAAUUUGUUCAAAUUCAACUCAAAACGCCCAUUUAUCAGCUCUAACUGAUGACUACAUCUGCAAAGUUAAUGGUUUUGUUGAUGUUUUUCAAAGCAAGGUUGAGGAACUAGUUACUUAAGCUAGGACCUAAGACUCUUACCCAUUUUCAACUGUGAUUUUUGUUGUAUGGAAAAAUGGACAUUUUUAAGGCAGUUCUCACAAAAAGUUAUAAAUAUUUUUAUAAAAAGAAAAAAAACAGUUGUAAUUAUUUAUUGGCCGUAAACUAAAAUCUGUAUUAUAUGUUAUGUCUGCUUUACUUCUGUAUUUUGAACUGCUUUGAUAUGCAUUACUUGAGCUGAGGAUCAUUUGGAAACAGUGCAUCUACCUCUAUGUAAGGGUAAUAAGAUUUGCACACACUAUACCUACCGCAGACCCGUAUCUGUGAGAUCACAUUGGGUAUGGUGUUGGUUGUGAUCUUAAACUAAAAUGUGUAUUCCUGGAGCUAAAAAUUUGACACCAAAAGGAGAAAGAUCAUAACUUUGUGGGAUCGUUUGUUUAUGUAAGUUUUGUAGCUCUAAAUAUUCUGGAGUCUGGACAACGAUAACUAUAUUUUUUGAUCUAUUAAGUCAUUGAGUUUUUCUUUAACAGGGUAUGCAGAGUUUGUAGCUGGAGCAAUUUGGAACAUCACAUGUAAUUUCUUUAUGAGUUGUUUCUUUUAAU
rnacentral:lncRNA from 1 species